CACUGUCUGCGGUGUUCGUGGUAUGGGAAAUUCGUAAUCCACUGAACUUUUUUUAGGGAGCGGUUGUUCGCGGAAAUAGGCAAGGUCUGAAAAUUUUUCGGAAAGUCCGAGGUUUCGCUUCGCCGCACCCACCUGGGAGAACCGGGUUAAUACUUUUUCAUAUCACGGCACAGGCGGAUAUUUU
rnacentral:other from 1 species